CCAAUUGAUAUGCGUCGUUCAUACAGAGCUUGAAAGUACGAUUCUACCUCCGAUUCUACAUCCGGUGAAAAAGAAUUAGUCGUGUUAGUAGCAAUAACAAUGCUAUCCCGAUCAUGACCCAAACUGAAGAGACGCGGAUAAACUUGAAGACACAAAAUUUGGACAUCUUUUAUAUGUUCACUGACUUCCUCCGAAAUACUAACGUUGUCCAUCAACGUUGUCAAUAGAACAUUAACCGUAUCGAUGGAAAGAACAACAGACUCUUCCUUUUGUUCAGACUCAUUUUUUUGUAAUGCCGCUCGACUCAUCAAAAAAUCCAAAACCUCUACCAAGAAAACAUUAAGUCCGUCUGCAUCCUCAAAUUCGAGCAUCUUUUUGUCAAGCCAAUCCUGAAACGAUAACGCUUUGCGAGCAGCUGCAAGUGCAGCAAUCUCUAAAGCAAAUCGAUUUGGUUGAAUGUUGCCGAUGUGAGAUGUAAAAUCAUUUUCGAUAAUAAACUCUACUACCUGAUUCACAGAUGAACUAUCCUUCAGCCACAAACUGCGUAAAAAGGCGAACAAAAAUUGAGGGUUUGUUCGUUCAAUCCUAACGAAGACAAAUUUAUGUUCUUUGAAAUUGGAAAAAAAGUCUGAACACCAUUGAAACGCUAAUGACUCUUGAACAGGAUUCCAUGCCAAAGGGAGCUGCAGCGUACCCAAAAGCAAAAGCUCGGCAGAAACUUUCUCAUCCAAAAAAUUCAAGAACAGUGAAGUUUCGUAGGUGACUACCUCAGAUAACAGGCGUAAAAGGAUUUGGAC